rnacentral:rRNA from 1 species
AACGAACGCUGGCGGCAUGCCUAACACAUGCAAGUCGAACGAUUGCCUUCGGGUGAUAGUGGCGCACGGGUGCGUAACGCGUGGGAAUCUGCCCUUAGGUUCGGAAUAACGGCUGGAAACGGCUGCUAAUACCGGAUGAUAUCGCGAGAUCAAAGAUUUAUCGCCUGAGGAUGGGCCCGCGUUGGAUUAGGUAGUUGGUGGGGUAAAGGCCUACCAAGCCGACGAUCCAUAGCUGGUCUGAGAGGAUGAUCAGCCACACUGGGACUGAGACACGGCCCAGACUCCUACGGGAGGCAGCAGUGGGGAAUAUUGGACAAUGGGCGCAAGCCUGAUCCAGCAAUGCCGCGUGAGUGAUGAAGGCCCUAGGGUUGUAAAGCUCUUUUACCCGGGAAGAUAAUGACUGUACCGGGAGAAUAAGCCCCGGCUAACUCCGUG